GUAUAGAAUUGGGCCCAGAACACU
rnacentral:piRNA from 1 species